UGUGACCGCCAGGCCACCAGGAGAGAGCCCGGCAUCCGAAGAGGACAUAGGGCAGUGGGCAGUGAGUGGGGCUCUGGAGAGUGGCCGUCCCUGUCACAGGACCACACGCUCCCUGUCCCCCCUCACAGAGACUCAGAGAGAGGGGCCACUGCAGAGGGCCUGGGCAGAACCUCCACUUAACUGGGUAUUUACCCCAGAAGGGUUAUGCUGGAGCUUGACGGUGACCGAAAUAAAACACACGAACGUGGCUGGAAGAGUCCGGCCCCAGACUGAGCACUCCAGGGAGGGAGGGACUUCUCUGCCCUCCCAGGUUAGUGGCUCAGCCCGAGACAAACUGAUAAGGACAGAUUCGCAGGAGGAAAGUGCACUUUCUACCUGAUGCUGACGUUCUCACGCGGCACAGGGGCCUCCGCAGAAGAGAAAUGAAGACCCAGAGAAACAGCUCGGCCUGAGAACUUAGACGCCAUUUCAGCAAAGCACAGCAGCUUGUGGAGACGUGAUGACGUGGAGAGAAGGAGGCUGGGGCUUCCAGGGGUGGGGGAUGCUGGGGAAGCUAUAGAUGUCUGAGGGAAACUAACGGAAGACGGGGCAUUUAGUACCAUUUGUCUCGGCGUCGCCUCCCCAACUCCCAUGGUGAGAAUGUUCUCCUCUUCCCUCCACAGCAAAGGCACGUCUUUUUGUGGGGAAUUUAUUCCUUGUUUUGGGGCGGAAAGGGGGAGCUCAGAGAACCCUGCCUGCAUCUGCUGUUUCUCAGGGGCCUUCAGCUCAAAUAAUCCACACGCCAAAGCAGGAUAUUUGGGGGCAGCCUGUUGCGAUUCCCCUUGGGACACUGAGUGGGGUGGAACCAGGCCCCCCCGUGAGCAGACUGUGAGGUUUACAGCGACACUGAGUCAAUUUUAGGAAUAAAAUCAGUUGUGCCUCUGCACAUCUGUGCUGUAAUGGCUCAGCUUUCACCUCUUAGAAAGGUUGAAAAUAAACAAACUCUCUGAUGCCGUCCCCCUCACCGCCUGCACUUCCUUCUCCAACGUCGUUGCAAUGCUUCAUCUCUCCCCCUGGUCACUGCUCUGCGAGGGUCUCCUCUGCGGCUGCCGGCCCCAGGAGCCGGGAGCUCCUCACAGCCUGGGGAGGACCCCCUUCACCCUUGGGUUCCCAGACCCUGGCACGGAGCCUGUCGGAUGGCAGGUGCUCAGUAAACAUGAGACAGACGUGUGGACCACAAACACCCUGACAGGCAUGGCCAAGCCACAGAUGGGAAAGGCGAGGGGCGUGUCACUGAAAAGGUCUGCAUACGUCCCUGGAAGCUUGUCCUGGAGCCUCACACUCCUCCGCAGGGGGCUCGGCGUUGGGUCCUGGUGCAUGCUCCUUGCUACUCAGCAUCGCGCUGUUGGCAGCAGCACGUCAUCACAGAUGAAGCCCCCUGAGUGGGGCGAGGGCAGGGUUCUGGAGGAAGGCUCCAUGGGCGCUGCAGGAAGGCAGCUCCCCUAGAGCCCCAGGGCGAGGCUUCCUAUGGAGGCUUAGGUGUCAGGAGACUGAGGCCAUUGAUGAGGAGUGGGAGGCAGGAUGGUUUCAUGGGCCUGAGACCAAUGCGUUUGCACAGGCAACCCCACCUAAAAGGGCUCAAAGGGCUCAUGCUUGGUUUAAUGUUCCGCUGUUGUCAUCUUGAAAUGCUUAAUUUUUGAACAAAAGACACUGUAGUAUCAUUUUGCACUCGGCCCCCAAAAUUAUGUACCUGGUCCUAGUUGGGGGCACCACCUGCAAGGAAAGGGCAUACAGAGAGAGAAGAUGGGAAGGGUGCAACAGGAGUUACUCCACAUUCACGGUUUUGCCCUGAGGUCAACGUAAGCCAGCAGGGUGGCUGGGAGGACUGAGGCAGCAGAGAAACCUGAGCGGGCACCAACCAAUAUUCCCUGUGUCUCAUGCGUCAAGGCGGGCUUCCGAGUCACCGGGUGCAGGCCUGGGAGCCUCAUCUGCCUUGCUCACCAGGGUCUGUAGCUCCUCUGCUGCCGGGGCCCACAGUGAUGCCAGCUGAGUCGCGUCGCUGGCGGCUCAGGCUUCCUUCCUCUGAAGCAGACGACAGAGAGCUCGAUAUCCUUUGCUAACGUCAUAUUGCUGACCUUAGUGAUACUGCAGGAGGUAGCCUGACACAAGGGUCAUCACAGCCAGGCUGUACGUGAAGAAACAAUGGCAGGAGAGAUGCUGGGAUCGUGCACAAAUCAGCCACAGAGGCGGACAUCUUCAUCUCCUAUUUUGGUAGAAAUCCGUGGUUACAGCCUGCUGGGAAACAGUCGCGAUCGUCAACAUCUCAUCUGAGAAGCCGUAAACCUCCUGGUUGACACAACGGUUAGGAGCGCCCCCCCACCCCGUUGCAAGAUUUGAAACAGCAGAUGAGAAUCUGCUUCAUUUCAUGUGUUUCCUCAGUGAAUUAAUCAUUAGGGUCAUCAUCUUCCUUUCCAGAUAAGAGUUCUUCACGUACGACCAGUCAAACAUUUAUGUCUCUACGUCUAUUUUUUGUCAUCCGUACAAACUGGAACAAGAGUUGAGUGAACACUUUGUUCUUCACCUGUAACUAGAAUAAGACGGAAACAUGACAAGUGUUGCACGAAGGAAAGUCCCCUUUGUCAUUUUUACGAACAUCUUUACAAGCAUUUAAUAUACUUGGCUCUGUGCUAGACUUGGAGCAAAUCUGAAGGUAAUCCUUGUCCUGGGGGAAGUAACAUUAUAUCCAGAGCAGCCGGAGAAGGCACACACACCUCCUCCCGCAGCAGGUGGCAAAGGCCUGUGAGCCGCGUCACCAGCUCCAUUACGCCACAAGCACAAGACCUGAAAGACGAGCUUGUAACUCUAACUUGAAGGAGCAGGACAGAGACUGCGGUUUUGCUAAUCCUCAAAUUAAAUAGCAGGACUUUUCCAGAGUAACCUAAGUGUGAACAGCACCGCGCUGGCGGCCCGAGGGAGCUCCUGCUCGUCGUUCCUCUGCUCUUCCGUGCUGUGCCCUCGGCACAGCCUCCCAUUCUGUCUUCACUACUCACAUCGCCAGCACCAGAAGAAACGAUUUUAACUACACCCAUCAGAAGAUACGAACCAGUGAAGCAGCAUUUUAUCUAGCAUCAGUGACUGCAUGCUGUGAGAAUUUUGUUGCUGUGGAAACCAUGUUUGUGAUACUGAAACUGAAUCAUGACUUGCUCUAUCAGGUUUUGAUGAUCACAGAGAAAUUACGGUUUUUACUGAGCAAACCCUUGUAUAUCAAUAAAGAUCCAAUUCUUUGGGACAUCCUGUCACCUCUACCUUCAAAAUACGUCCCCAGUCCAAGCACAUCUCGCCCGCUACGGCUACAAGGCUGGUCCAGGGAACUGUUGUCUCUCACCUGAGCUGCCCCAGCUGCCUCCUGACUGCUGCAAAGGUUUCCCAAAACCUUGACCUGCUCUGCCUUUCUUCCUCAUCAUCCAGCACUUGGAGAAAACAUCACCACUUCAGACAGUCCUUCCCUGACGGGCCAGCUGGAGUAGCUGCCCCCUGCAAGACACCUCUGCCCCGUUCUCCUGGUGUUUGUUUUCGGGGAAUACCCCUCUCUGACUCCCCUCACCCCAACCCUGAGCCCGUCUUCCUCCUCUCCCUCUUUUCCUACUUGUUUGUUGGCUGCUUGCCCCAACCCCAGCAUAAAUGUCAUUAAGAUGAAGACUUCUCUCUUCCCCGCUUUAAUUCCUGCGCUGGAAUAGUGCUGGCUCAUUGUAGGCGCUCAGCUAACCAACACCAUUUACUGAUUGGCUUCUGUGUGCCGGGCACUGUGGCAGCUUUGUCACCGGUCUGUUCCCUAAGCAGCUCGAAGGAAGUCUGAAGGUGCUUAACGCUCCCUCAAGACUGUUUUCCAGAGCUCUGCUGGGAGGAGAUGCCAGCCCCGACUGGCCUGAGCCAGCCCCAGCCCCACUGCAAGGGCAGUGCCUGCGCAGACGACCUGAAGAUGACCAGAAAAUGCCCUUUUCCUCAUCUUAACACUGAAACCUCCGCCCCAGGAGGAGCCUAGGCCUCGUUAGCAUAACAUGCGAUGUAUGUGAGAGCAUGUUUCAGACGCCUCCUGCACCAGGUUGUACCACCUCUGUGUGAUGACAAAACUUCCCUUUCAAAUACUCAUUCCCCACCCGAAAUAAAGGACCCGCCUCCUUCUGUUCCGGGAGCCAUGACUGUGGAUAGAAUUCUGUGUCGUCUCCUAAUUUGCUGCAAAUGUGCUCUGCUUUGUGUGAUGACUGCUGCUGGUGGAGCGUCUGACUU